rnacentral:rRNA from 1 species
UACAGAGACUGCAAGCGUUAUUCGGAUUCACUGGGCGUAAAGGGUGCGCAGGCGGCCGGGUGUGUCAGAUGUGAAAUCCCGAGGCUUAACCCCGGAACUGCGUCUGAAACUACUCGGCUAGAGUACUGGAGAGGGUAACGGAAUUCACGGUGUAGCAGUGAAAUGCGUAGAUAUCGUGAAGAACACCAGAGGCGAAGGCGGUUACCUGGACAGUUACUGACGCUCAGGCACGAAAGCAUGGGGAGCAAAAGGG